CUUUUUAAUUUCAAGAAACUUUUUAAAUUAUCCUUAUUAUAUUAAUUAACUCUAUUUAAAAUUUGGGCGUUUGUCCGUUUCGCCCAUGUAGUGUUUUAGGGCGUGUUUGGUUCGCUUUUUUUUCAUCUUGGAAUCGGAAUCGGAAUGGGUGAAUCCGUUUGUGGGUGUUUGGUACGCGGGAGUCCCAUUCCGAUUCCGAUUCCCGAGUGGAAUGGGAAUCCCCCAAUCAACUCUUUUUUCAAUCCGGCCUAGGUGACCGGAUUGGAAGUUGAAUCCGGACGGAAUGGAAAUUUAUUCGGAUUAAAUUUAUUUUUUUAAUUUUUUUAAUUAAAGUAGGAGUUAAAAUUUAAAAAAUUAAAUAUAUAAUUUUAAAUUUUAAUUUGAA
rnacentral:lncRNA from 1 species